UACGUAGGGUGCGAGCGUUAAUCGGAAUUACUGGGCGUAAAGCGUGCGUAGACGGCUAUCUAAGUCGGGUGUGAAAGCCCCGGGCUCAACCUGGGAAUUGCACUCGAGACUGAAUAGCUAGGGUACGGUAGAGGGAAGUGGAAUUUCCGGUGUAGCGGUGAAAUGCGUAGAUAUCGGAAGGAACAUCAGUGGCGAAAGCGGCUCUCUGGGACGGUACUGACGCUGAGACGCGAAAGCGUGGGGAGCGAACAGG
rnacentral:rRNA from 1 species